rnacentral:rRNA from 1 species
CAGGACGAACGCUGGCGGCGUGCCUAAUACAUGCAAGUCGAACGGUCUUUCUAUGGAAGCUUGCUUCCACUGAGAAGAUAGUGGCGAACGGGUGAGUAACACGUGGGUAACCUGCCCAUAAGAGGGGGAGUAACAUCCGGAAACGGGUGCUAAUACCGCAUAGUUUCUUGAUCGCAUGAUCGGGAAAGGAAAGACGGCCUUUGUGCUGUCGCUUAUGGAUGGACCCGCGGCGUAUUAGUUAGUUGGUGAGGUAACGGCUCACCAGGACGAUGAUACGUAGCCGACCUGAGAGGGUGAUCGGCCACAUUGGGACUGAGACACGGCCCAAACUCCUACGGGAGGCAGCAGUAGGGAAUCUUCCGCAAUGGACGAAAGUCUGACGGAGCAACGCCGCGUGAGUGAAGAAAGGUUUUCGGAUCGUAAAACUCUGUUGUCAGAGAAGAACAAGUUGGAGAGUAACUGCUCCAGCCUUGACGGUAUCUGACCAGAAAGCCACGGCUAACUACGUGCCAGCCGCUGC